GAACGCGAAGAACCUUACCUGGUCUUGACAUGUACGGAAUCCUCCAGAGACGGAGGAGUGCCUUCGGGAGCCGUAACACAGGUGCUGCAUGGCUGUCGUCAGCUCGUGUCGUGAGAUGUUGGGUUAAGUCCCGCAACGAGCGCAACCCUUGUCAUUAGUUGCCAUCAUUUAGUUGGGCACUCUAAUGAGACUGCCGGUGACAAGCCGGAGGAAGGUGGGGAUGACGUCAAGUCCUCAUGGCCCUUAUGANCAGGGCUUCACACGUCAUACAAUGGUCGGUACAGAGGGUAGCCAAGCCGCGAGGUGGAGCCAAUCUCACAAAACCGAUCGUAGUCCGGAUUGCACUCUGCAACUCGAGUGCAUGAAGUCGGAAUCGCUAGUAAUCGCAGGUCAGCAUACUGCGGUGAAUACGUUCCCGGGUCUUGUACACACC
rnacentral:rRNA from 1 species